rnacentral:rRNA from 1 species
UGCAGUCGUGCGAGAAAGUCUGGCUUCGGUCGGGCGAGUAAAGCGGCGAACGGGUGAGUAACGCGUGGAUAAUCUGCCCUUAAGUCUGGGAUAAUUCACCGAAAGGUGUUGUAAUACCGGAUAAGACCUCAGAACGGCAUCGUUCAGAGGCCAAAGGCGGGGUAACCUGUCGCUUAGGGAUGAGUCCGCGCUCCAUUAGCUUGUUGGUGGGGUAAUGGCCUACCAAGGCUACGAUGGAUAGCCGACCUGAGAGGGUGAUCGGCCACACUGGGACUGAGAUACGGCCCAGACUCCUACGGGAGGCAACAGUAGGGAAUAUUGCGCGAUGGACGCAAGUCUGACGCAGCAACGCCGCGUGGGUGAUGAAGCUUCUUGGAGUGUAAAACCCUGUCAGCGGGGAAGAACCGUACGGGAAGUAACUGUCCCGUGCCUGACGGUACCCGCAGAGGAAGUCCCGGCUAACUCCGUGCCAGCAGCCGCGGUAAUACGGGGGGGACAAGCGUUGUUCGGAUUUACUGGGCGUAAAGCGCACGUAGGCGGCGAUUUAAGUCAGAGGUGAAAGCCCGGGGCUCAACCCCGGAACUGCCUUUGAGACUGGAUUGCUUGAAUCCGGGAGAGGUGAGUGGAAUUCCGAGUGUAGAGGUGAAAUUCGUAGAUAUUCGGAAGAACACCAGUGGCGAAGGCGGCUCACUGGACCGGCAUUGACGCUGAGGUGCGAAAGCGUGGGGAGCAAAC